AUCCAGCUGACAAGUCCCAAACAGGAUGAAAUGCACGUCUUGGAU
rfam:Schistosoma rodhaini strain Burundi genome assembly, scaffold: SROB_scaffold0010616